rnacentral:lncRNA from 1 species
AAAUUAACCGUUAAAUCAUGAUUUUUCGUUUAUAACCGUCGAAAAGUUUUGUCCCGUUACUUGCUCUCUAAAUGUUUUUUUUAUGCAAUUUUUGGCGUAUGCGAUCUCGAAGUAUAUACAAACAUGUUUGACGGUUGGAUCAUUGAAACUAGUUUCAUAUAAUGAGUAUCCCAUUAAAACAAUAGAUUCACUAAUACUUAAGAGUUUAUUCAUACUUUUAUUAAGUAU